rnacentral:rRNA from 1 species
AUUGAACGCUGGCGGCAUGCCUUACACAUGCAAGUCGAACGGCAGCACGGGUGCUUGCCCCUGGUGGCGAGUGGCGAACGGGUGAGUAAUACAUCGGAACAUGACCUGUAGUGGGGGAUAGCCCGGCGAAAGCCGGAUUAAUACCGCAUACGAUCUACGGAUGAAAGCGGGGGACCUUCGGGCCUCGCGCUAUAGGGUUGGCCGAUGGCUGAUUAGCUAGUUGGUGGGGUAAAGGCCUACCAAGGCGACGAUCAGUAGCUGGUCUGAGAGGACGACCAGCCACACUGGGACUGAGACACGGCCCAGACUCCUACGGGAGGCAGCAGUGGGGAAUUUUGGACAAUGGGCGAAAGCCUGAUCCAGCAAUGCCGCGUGUGUGAAGAAGGCCUUCGGGUUGUAAAGCACUUUUGUCCGGAAAGAAAUCCUUGGCCCUAAUACGGUCGGGGGAUGACGGUACCGGAAGAAUAAGCACCGGCUAACUACGUG